AAUUCUCAACUUUUGCUGGCUUUGCUUAUAAGGCUUGACACAAAAGUGUGGAUGUGGAGGAUUAUCUUUGCAGGCUCUUUUGAGAGCCAGCUCCUCUGAAAAGCAUUAGUAGCGCCCUCUAGUGGCUGACUUUUGGCAUGAUAAUUAUCACUGUCAUCAGUUGCCACACAUUUAUGUUGGCAAUGCUGCUUAUAACAGUCUAAAUAGACAAGUAAAUGACAA
rnacentral:misc_RNA from 1 species